rnacentral:rRNA from 1 species
UACGGGGGGGGCAAGCGUUGUUCGGAAUUACUGGGCGUAAAGGGCUCGUAGGCGGCCAACUAAGUCGGAUGUGAAAUCCCCAGGCUUAACCUGGGAAUUGCAUCCGAUACUGGAUGGCUUGAAUCCGGGAGAGGGAUGCGGAAUUCCAGGUGUAGCGGUGAAAUGCGUAGAUAUCUGGAGGAACACCGGUGGCGAAGGCGGCAUCCUGGACCGGCCCUGACACUGAGACGCGAAGGCGUGGGGAGCGAACGGG